CCUGAGCCAGUUCGACCAGCACCUUGAGCACCUUGUACACAACUGUGGUGCACACCUUGCAGUCUGCAUAGCUUUCGUUGAGGACUUUCUGCUAAUUUUUGUGGGGGGUCGGGUUAUUCCUGCGUUGAGUGCUUUCAUUCCCGUCGCUCGAGAUGCCCACCGAAAGUCAGCGGGCAGUGUUGCGCGACGGUUUUUCCGGCGGACCGCACGGUGUCGGUGACCCGAACGACACGCGACUUCGUAAUGUGGAGAAGGAAAUACUCAUUCCGCAGAAGAUGCGAGACAAGGCCAGGGACGAGAAAUGCAGCGAUUUAGUUGCCGAGUUUGGUGUGUGCUGCAAGAAGCAAGGACUGCUGCUGCCUUUUUUGUGUCGCAAGGAGAACAAUGCCCUCAAGGCGUGCCUUAAGAAGUGGUACGACGAUCCAGACUUCCGACAACUGUGCACGGAAGAGUACCUGGCCGACCGGAAGAGGUUCAGAGAAACUGGCGUUCGGACAAACCAGAAGCGGAAGGACAAGGUCAUCUAGACCCCGGGUCUGCCGAUGUCAUCCCAGCAGAGGGCCGUCCGCUGUCGAGACGGAAGGUCAACCUUUGGGACGUUUGAAUGAUCGUCAGUCGUGUGUGCAGCCAUGCCCAAAGUAGACUGAUUUCCAGAUGGUGUCUAGAGGGUUCCUUUGUCCAAUGCUAAUUUAAAGUGCGAUAAUGUUUCGUAGCAUCUGGAGACAAAGUAUGGUACUGUCUCUACAGGGACAUUGAUGUAGUCUGUUUUUGGUUGUUACAGGGACGCUGAAAGGAUGUUUAUGCUCGCCGAGGUUUUAGUUGUACAUGACAUGUGGGAGCCCAACUACCCAGAACACAGUUUGCGGCUCGAAAUUUUUCUUUCUGCCUGGAAAUCAUGGAUCAACAAGUGGCCAGAUUGAGUCGCGGGUUUGAAGUUCCCGCGCCAGUGCAGCGACGUCAAAUUUUGCGGUCUCGUGCGAGCCGACUUUCUUUGGCCCCUCCGCUCCCCGCUACAAAGCAAAGCCCCGUUGCCACCAGGACCCCAAGCGAGGAACGGGGGGGACGAGGGCGCCGGCGGGAACCCGUUCCUUCGUCCGGUUCCGCGACUCGCCGAUGAUCCUCUGCUCGAGCGCCGCCCAGUUUUCCGAGGGAGGACACAAAUCCAGGACGCGACAUCACAACGGACUCCAAUUUUUGGUAUUUCAAAAAGAAGGGCCAUAGUGCAUUCGCAAUUGCGUUAAAAAACAUGUUUUACGAUUGCCGUUAUUAAAUGUCAUAGAAAUGUCGCCUACAAAGCUUCUACAUUUCAUGAUUCCUGACGUCGCAAAUCAAAAGAAGCGAGGAGGCAAAAAGCGGGAGAAGAGAGCGCCACAAAUAAAAAGCCGCACGCGCGAAAAUGUUUUUCGCGAUGCGGAUUCUUUUGUGUGUCUAUGA
rnacentral:misc_RNA from 1 species